GACGAACGCUGGCGGCGUGCUUAACACAUGCAAGUCGAACGAGACGAUUGAAAGCUUGCUUUUAAAAGUCGAGUGGCAAACGGGUGAGUAACGCGUAGACAACCUGCCUUUGAGAUGGGGACAACAGUUCGAAAGGACUGCUAAUACCGAAUGUUGUAUAUUUUCCACAUGGAAGAUAUAUUAAAGAUGGCCUCUAUUUAUAAGCUAUCGCUCAAAGAUGGGUCUGCGUCUGAUCAGCUAGUUGGUGGGGUAACGGCCUACCAAGGCGACGAUCAGUAGCCGGUCGGAGGGGAUGAACGGCCACAUUGGGACUGAGACACGGCCCAGACUCCUACGGGAGGCAGCAGUGGGGAAUCUUCCACAAUGGACGAAAGUCUGAUGGAGCAACGCCGCGUGAGUGAAGAAGGGUUUCGGCUCGUAAAGCUCUGUUGUCGGGGACGAAUGUGCAGUAUUUGAAUAAAGUACUGCAAUGACGGUACCUGACGAGGAAGCCACGGCUAACUACGUGCCAGCCGCCGCGGUAA
rnacentral:rRNA from 1 species